rnacentral:rRNA from 1 species
GACGAACGCUGGCGGCGUGCUUAACACAUGCAAGUCGAGCGGUAAGGCCUUUCGGGGUACACGAGCGGCGAACGGGUGAGUAACACGUGGGUGAUCUGCCCUGCACUCUGGGAUAAGCCUGGGAAACUGGGUCUAAUACUGGAUAUGACCUCAGCAUGCAUGUGCUGGGGUGGAAAGGUUUUGUGGUGCAGGAUGGGCCCGCGGCCUAUCAGCUUGUUGGUGGGGUAAUGGCCUACCAAGGCGACGACGGGUAGCCGACCUGAGAGGGUGACCGGCCACACUGGGACUGAGACACGGCCCAGACUCCUACGGGAGGCAGCAGUGGGGAAUAUUGCACAAUGGGCGGAAGCCUGAUGCAGCGACGCCGCGUGAGGGAUGAAGGCCUUCGGGUUGUAAACCUCUUUCAGCAGGGACGAAGCGUGAGUGACGGUACCUGCAGAAGAAGCACCGGCUAACUACGUGCCAGCAGCCGCCGUAAUAC